rnacentral:rRNA from 1 species
GAUGAACGCUAGCUACAGGCUUAACACAUGCAAGUCGAGGGGAAACGACAUCGAAAGCUUGCUUUUGAUGGGCGUCGACCGGCGCACGGGUGAGUAACGCGUAUCCAACCUGCCCAUCACUUGGGAAUAACCUUGCGAAAGUAAGACUAAUACCCAAUGACAUCCCACGAAGACAUCUGAAUGGGAUUAAAGAUUUAUCGGUGAUGGAUGGGGAUGCGUCUGAUUAGCUUGUUGGCGGGGUAACGGCCCACCAAGGCAACGAUCAGUAGGGGUUCUGAGAGGAAGGUCCCCCACAUUGGAACUGAGACACGGUCCAAACUCCUACGGGGGGCAGCAGUGAGGAAUAUUGGUCAAUGGGCGAGAGCCUGAACCAGCCAAGUAGCGUGCAGGAUGACGGCCCUAUGGGUUGUAAACUGCUUUUAUAAGGGAAUAAAGUGGGUCUCGUGAGACUUUUUGCAUGUACCUUAUGAAUAAGGACCGGCUAAUUCCGU